rnacentral:lncRNA from 1 species
GCCCAAUUAAUAGAUAUCUGACAAUCCUAAUAGAAGCUUCCAUGUGUGAAGCCUUGGGAUGUUGCAUCAAUUGACUAAGACACUGAACAACAAAGCUGAAAUCAGGUCUAAUCACUGUUACGUAUAACAAUCUCCCUAUAAGUUUUUAAUAUUGUCACGACCCAAAGUACAUCCUAGUCGUAACAUGGCGUAUAGGACCUCGAGAGACCCAAUACAAGUCACUUAGCAUACAUAUACAAGAUAAUAGAAUCUUAAAGAGUUCAAAAGACAUUUGAAUCAUAAAGAGUUCCAUCAAAAACAGAAGUCUAACAUAAGUCUCAAAGCCACUAUUGGAAAGUGAUUGAAACGUAACCCAUACAUCACAAUAUGAAAUGAAAAGAUUUGAAAGCAAUAAAGAAUCUUGGUCCUCGGAACAUGAGGACUCACCAAUCUUCAAUGUCUAUAUGGGAUCACUGGCCACGAGUGUGCGGAAUGGAAGCGUCGGACCCUACAUUAGUGAAACAAUGUAGGCACAAGUAUGCAUUAGUACAUGGAAUGUACUAAGUAUGAUAACAAUGCAUAAAGAGUAAUGAAAUCUUGCUAAAAGGGACUUUAUAUGACAUGCAAUGAUCAAGCUAAAUCAUAAAAUAACAUGUUAGAAGACAUAAGUCGAAAUCAUGGUCAAUGCAAGCUAAACAUCUUUAAAACACAUUUGAGAUACUUCUAGAAGUAACCUUAGUUCAUUCUUGUGGGAAGUUUGCCAUUAACUGACAUAGACCAUGUGAGCUAUAACAUGGAAUCUAGUGUCUAUUCCACAUCGAAAAGAGAUGUCCUUACUUGCCAAGGUAAGAACCAUAAACUUCUAGCUUAGGUGGAUCCACUAGCUAAUCUCUAUCUAAGACAACCUAUGGUGACACAUAGUUAUGUGAUAGGGAGAUUGCUACUAGAAACCCAGCCUCAACUAUGGGAGAGCUUCCAUCUUGAUAUCCUCUCGGUGCUAAUUAAGCAUAAAUCCCACGGAAUAGUCAUUAAUCUUAACUUAUCUUAUUAUCCAUGGAAGGGCACAUGAAGUAGCCAAUCAAAGCUAGAAUUCAUUAUAGCCAAUCCUAGGUGAGAAAACCUUUCAACCUUGUGAAUCAUUUAUGUGAGCAAAUCCUUUCACAAUAACUUCAUAUGUGAGAAAUCCUUUCACAACAACAAUUCAUAAAGAAACAUGCAUAUCUUCAUAAAUUCAUCUUUCAUAUUUCAAAAGCUUCAUCAUAUAAUCAAAAUCCAGAAAAUUAUGGAUCAUGCAUGGGUUCAAUUGCAUUGAACUUAAAAACAUGUAGUUAUCUCAAUUCAUGCAUAAAAAUACAUAAAACAAUCAAUUGGAUCAUAAUUGAGAGCAACCCAUGAAAUUGAAUAAAACCCUAAUUUCAAUUGGAGAACUCUAACUUGUAAUAUUGGAGAAUUUAGGAACCUUAUGGAGGAAAGAACUCCACAGGUGAAUACUAUCAUACCUUGAUGUCAAAAACCCCCAAUCAAUGGUGAAUUUGGAGACUGGAUCCUGAAACCCUAGACUAGUUUAUCAAACAUAUCAAGCCUAUUUAAGAAUGACAAGAAGGUACAUCUAUUAAUUGCCUGUGUAGACUUUGGCCUAUUCAAGAAUGACAAGAAACAACAUGCAUUAAUUAGUUUUUGUACAUUUCGGGUUACCUAAAAUGUUAACAAUAACAUACUUUUUGCAGUCUUCCAACUGGGAUCUUUGAAGGGUAGGAUGUAAGCAGAUCUUACCUCUACCUUCGUAAGUCAGAGACUAAAAAACUCUCGAUUCAAAAGGAAAGUACCUAGGAUACAAAAGAAAUGUAACAAUAAGAGGUUACCUAAAUGUUACUGAUGGUAAUCGUCCAUAAAAUACAAUAAGUUAAAUGCAAUCAUGUAUAGUUGGCUCAUCACUUCGUUUGAGUUGGAUGUUGGUUUGCAACCAUUGCAGGAAGAAUCAGUACUAAGUAAUUAGGAAAAGGAAAUUGAACAGAUAGAGCAACAACAAAAUACAUGUUUUAUCGCAAAUACUUCUUAACUAAAUCAAUCAACAAAGAAAAUAAAAACAACAUUCAGCUGCAAAAUUCUCUUUUGUAUUCAGAUUGCAUAACGACAAUCACAAGAAGCUCAGCUCAAAAACAUAAAAAACUGAAUUGUAUCGCAACUUCAAGCAACAUGAGAAAUUGUAGCUAUAACUUAUAGAACAACCUUGAAUUCCUUAAAAUACCUAUAGAAAUAACCUAUUAUAAUCAAGAAACUCGCCUUGAAACUAUAUACUCAAGUGAAAUCCUCACUAACCACAUAACUGAAAAGUAGCAAUAAGAUGAUUUUCAGUUCACUCGAGUAGCCAACAUGUCUAUAGAUAUGAUUGCACAAGUGUAUAAACAAAUUCGUAACAAUGACCACGAUUUAAUUUUCUGACUGUUCUUCCCUCAUUUCAAACAAAUCAUACUAAUUACUCCCAAACUCCAAAAAAAAGAAAACAAUCAAACCAUGUAAAGACAAAAGCAUAAAGUACCUGUAACAAUUAGCAAAGUUCAAAAAAAAAAAUUCAAUUACAAUACUUAGAAACCAGUAGAACACGAAUUGAAAAUAUUGAUUCUUAAUUUCAGCUUCAAUUCUACAAAAAUUGAAACAAGUAGAAAUAGGAAUUACUUAACAAAUCAUAUAUAUAAAUAUAUCAAAAUAUAUUAAAAACUCGAAGAGAUUUAACUCGAAGCUCCAAUUCUCCUUCAGAAAUUCAUACUAAGAACAACUCUUCUUUCACACACACAUACACUAUCAUAGAAGGUUGUGAACGUGUUCAGAAAUUUCUCAAACUUGUGAGAAAUACCAAAACCCUACCUGAAACGAAGUUGAUGAAGCGAGAUCUUCUUGCUCCUAAGCAAACUAGUAAUGGAUGACCCACUUCUCAAUGGACUCUUCGAUCAAGACCUUCCGACGAUAACCCACACACCACCUCUUCCUUAUAUGCCGAGAAGAAACCUUGUUUUCUUUCCAUUUCCUGGAAAAAAUCAAAAUCCCAAAAUAUUUUUCAACCAAACAAAUAGACUUAAGGGUUAGCAUGAACGAAAUUUCUAGGUCAUAAAUUGCAUAAUCACAUAAGAGAGUAGAAUCUAGAAAGGGCACUUAGCUGAAGAGAUGGAGCAAAAUUCUUUAAGAAUGAAAUUUAGGUCUCUGCUUCUAUUUUUUUCUGGUAAUUACUCCUUAAUAUCGACAAUGUCUUCCAAUAAUAGCAUUACAAUCAAAAUGGUAUAUCAUAACAAACCCCUUAAACCGUAUUAUCAAGAACCCUAAUCCCCUUUUCCAAACCAAAACACAUCAAUAUCCAAAAAAGAAAAAAAAACUAAUCAGAUCUCGUCUUCAUGAAAAAGCAUAUUGGGAAUGCCUUUACUGAAAGGAAAUUUUCGGCCAGUCUCUGGACAAACCAAGGCACCCUCUUCAAGAUGAAGCUCAAGAAGGGCAUGAUGAAACUUCUGAACAAAAUCAUCUAAGUCGAGCAGAGCAACAUCAACAUUUCAGGAAGUUCGGCGUAAC